rnacentral:tRNA from 1 species
GCCGGAGUGGUGGAAAUGGCAUACACGCAGUCUUCAGGAGGCUGUUCCCAAAAGGAUUGCAGGUUCAAAUCCUGUCUCCGGCACCA